UACGUAGGGCGCAAGCGUUGUCCGGAAUUAUUGGGCGUAAAGAGCUCGUAGGCGGCCUGUUACGUCUGCUGUGAAAUCCCGGGGCUUAACCCCGGGCGUGCAGUGGAUACGGGCAGGCUGGAGGCAGGCAGGGGAGAACGGAAUUCCCGGUGUAGCGGUGAAAUGCGCAGAUAUCGGGAGGAACACCGGUGGCGAAGGCGGUUCUCUGGGCCUGUACUGACGCUGAGGAGCGAAAAGCGUGGGGGAGCGAACAG
rnacentral:rRNA from 1 species